GAAUUCAUCACGCUAUCCCUAUAUACCUGAAGGGUAGGGUCACUAAGGGUUUCCUGCCCAAAUUCUGUGGUGGUAUCCCAGGGGAGGGGUGAAAGGGUUUGGGAAGGUUUUGCUACCUGGACCUCAGAGUGCAUGUGGUUCUCCGUGGUGUGGGCCAGGGACCUGGUGGUGACAGGGUAGGUCCUGCUGGUGACCUGGGAAGGCAGGAACGCUGAGGUCCACUGGCCGUGAUCAUUCCCCAACAAGACGUUGUUGGGGAGUCCCUGCAUCAACCCCACAUCAAUCAGCCCUAACCUGGCACCCCAAUUCAAGUGAACCCUCGCAGCAGGUACCCGAUGUACUGCUCCCCCUGCUGCCCGAGCGGCUACUUAACCUCUGGUUAGGUUGGCAUCUGGGACUAGGUUAUCGGUUUCAGCUUCGUGGAGGGUACUCCAUUGCUCUUCAGAAGAUUUGGACCUGGG